AAUGAACGUUGGCGGCGUGGAUUAGGCGUGCAAGUCGAGCGAGAACCCAGCAAUGGGGGACAGCGGCGCAAGGGACAGUAAUGUGUAGAUCAUCCGCCCUCAGGCCCGGGAUAGCUGCGGGAAACUGCAGGUAAUACCGGAUAACAUCUCCGGAUCAAAGGUGUGAUUCCGCCUGAGGAUGAGUCUACAUCCUAUUAGCUAGUUGGCAGGGUAACGGCCUACCAAGGCGAUGAUGGGUAGCGGGUGUGAGAGCACGACCCGCGUCAUUGGGACUGAGACACUGCCCAGACACCUACGGGUGGCUGCAGUCGAGAAUCUUCGGCAAUGGGCGCAAGCCUGACCGAGCGACGCCGCGUGCGGGAUGAAGGCCUUCGGGUUGCAAACCGCUGUCAGAGGGGAUGAAAUGCGGGAGAGCAAUCUCUUCCGUUUGACAUAGCCUCAGAGGAAGCACGGGCUAAGUUCGUGCCAGCCGCCGCGGUAACAC
rnacentral:rRNA from 1 species